rnacentral:rRNA from 1 species
UGGGGAAUCUUGGACAAUGGGCGCAAGCCUGAUCCAGCCAUGCCGCGUGAGCGAUGAAGGCCUUAGGGUUGUAAAGCUCUUUCACCGGUGAAGAUAAUGACGGUAGCAGGUAAAGAAACCCCGGCUAACUCCGUGCCAGCAGCCGCGGUAAUACGGAGGGGGUUAGCGUUGUUCGGAAUUACUGGGCGUAAAGCGCACGUAGGCGGACCAGAAAGUUGGGGGUGAAAUCCCGGGGGCUCAACCCCGGAACUGCCUCCAAAACUAUUGGUCUAGAGUUCGAGAGAGGUGAGUGGAAUUCCAAGUGUAGAGGUGAAAUUCGUAGAUAUUUGGAGGAACACCAGUGGCGAAGGCGGCUCACUGGCUCGAUACUGACGCUGAGGUGCGAAAAGUGUGGGGAGCAAACAGGAUUAGAUACCCUGGUAGUCCACACCGUAAAACGAUGAAUGCCAGUCGUCGGGUAGCAUGCUAUUCGGUGACACACCUAACGGAUUAAGCAUUCCGCUGGGGAGUACGGUCGCAAGAUUAAAACUC